rnacentral:rRNA from 1 species
AGUGAACGCUGGCGGUAGGCCUAACACAUGCAAGUCGAACGGCAGCACAGAGGAGCUUGCUCCUUGGGUGGCGAGUGGCGGACGGGUGAGGAAUACAUCGGAAUCUACUCUGUCGUGGGGGAUAACGUAGGGAAACCUACGCUAAUACCGCAUACGACCUACGGGUGAAAGCAGGGGACCUUCGGGCCUUGCGCGAUUGAAUGAGCCGAUGUCGGAUUAGCUAGUUGGCGGGGUAAAGGCCCACCAAGGCGACGAUCCGUAGCUGGUCUGAGAGGAUGAUCAGCCACGCUGGAACUGGGACACGGUCCAGACUCCUACGGGAGGCAGCAGUGGGGAAUAUUGGACAAUGGGCGCAAGCCUGAUCCAGCCAUACCGCGUGGGUGAAGAAGGCCUUCGGGUUGUAAAGCCCUUUUGUUGGGAAAGAAACCCAGCUGGCUAAUACCCGGUUGGGAUGACGGUACCCAAAGAAUAAGCACCGGCUAACUUCGUGCCAGCCGCCGCCGUAAAAC